CAAGAAGGGAGGGCGAGUUCAGGGGGUCGGACGGCUGCUCGCUGCCGCUGGUGCGUUGGGAGCCGGCGAACGCGGAGACCUCCGGGCAGCUCGGCGAUCUCCGACUCCAGCUCUGCCUUUUCCUCUUCGAGCUGAUCCGUUUCCUAAUGGAGCCCAGCAGGAGGCAGGUCAUAGGAGACAAGAGAAAGCAGGGAUGCUGGUCAGUGACCACACAGGGUGGCUUCACCCACCUCAACCCCCACACACAUUCUAGCUGCUGAUCCAGGGGCCUGGACGGCUCCCUCCCAACUGAGGGGAACAUCCCCUAAGAGGAACUCCUGGUAGACUAUGCCACUCGGUGCCUCAGUUUCCCCAUCAGACUAAGAGAUGGUUGGGAAAAGGCUAGGCAGGAAUGGAAGUCUCUGAUGGGCAAGAACUACAAGCCUGGUGUGAUGGUGAACACGGGUAAUCACAACGUUCAGAGACUGAGGCAAGGGAGAGAUGGCUAUUUCUUUGCGGCCAGCCUGUACUAAGGAGUCCUCUGCUUUAAAAGGGCGAAGGGGGCAAUGCAGCUCACUGAGUCAAGGAGAUUGUCAGCAAGCCUAGAAAAGUGGGUUCGAUUCCUGAGACCCACAACAUGGAGAGACCCAACUCUAAAAAUUGCCCUCUGACGUCCUGUGGCGCACCAGCACUCACUCAAACAUAGGUAAAUAGUAAAUGAACGAAAUAACUUUUAAGAGAAAAGAAGAAAAACAUUAAAGUUUGUUGAAUCAGUAAA
rnacentral:sRNA from 1 species